rnacentral:rRNA from 1 species
GCUUAGCGGUCAUAGUGACAGGGCUACACCUGAUCUCGUUUCGAUCUCAGAAGUAAAGUCUGUUACGUUUUGUUUAGUACUGUGGAGAUAUCUACGGGAGUUUCAUUUCGCUGCUAGCUUUUUUUUAUAGAUUAUUAUAUAACAUUGUUAUA